AUGCCCCGUCCCAUCUGUAAGGAUGUCUCCCAUCCCAGAGACAUUCGAGAUGGGGCUGGAGGGGGAUCUGAGCAGCCUGAUGUAGCUGUGAACGUCCUUGUUCACUGCAGGGGAGUCAGGCUAGAAGACCUUUUAGGGUCCCUUCCAACUCAAGUGAUUGGGGAAUCCUCCCUUGGAGACAGAACCCAUCCGCAGCACCCGACGUUGGCUUGGAGGAGGGCUUUGGGGGGCUUUGGGGGGCUCCCCACACCCCCACCCCACAUUCCCCCAGGUUCCCUACCGCCUGCGCCAGCUGACGGCCCUACAGCGACGCUCGCUUUACGUCGGACCCCAAACGGUGACCGCGACCCCACAACUCCCAGGGCUUUUCCAAGGGAUGGAGAUGAAACCCCACGAAACCAAGGGCGGUCACCGCGUCACCCAGUUCCUCACCUACAACUGCCUGGCGACGGACGCAGACCUUUACAACGAGUGCCUCCGGAGCUUCUGGACGUGUCCCCACUGUGGGCUCCAUGCACCCUUCACCCCCAUGGAGCGAGUCUGCCACGAGAACGCGUGCCGGCCGCCCGACGCCCCCCCAGAAGAGGAACCCCAAAGCUGCCCCCAACCCUCAGCCCUGCAGCGGCCGUUCCGCUGCGAUGUGUGCCAGCAGGAUUUUUCCUUCACCCCCACCGAGAUCCUCCGGCACCGACGGCAGCACCGCUGAUGGGAGAAACCCCAAAAGGAUUUGGGGCAUCCCCUGUGCAGCCGGAAGAAUCCUCAUCACCGAACGACGUCGUGACGAUUUUGGGAAAACGAAACGAUUCUCCUCGCUUCCAGCCCAGGCCGGCGGCGUUUCUCCCCUCUCUCAAAUUUCACCUUCACGCUUCUCAGGCCGCCUUAAUGAGGAGAUGGAAUUAACAGAUUAAUGGUGGCUCAUCAGUGCGAUGUGUGACAUCGGUGCGACGCAGGCGGACCCCUCCGCGGCCCUGGUUUGGUGGUCCUGCAGGGCUGACGUGGAGAAAUUUGGCGUCGCUGGGCACAAAACGUGUGGGGUUUCAUCCCAUCCCAUUCCCUGUCCCCAGUCCCUCAUCUCAGUUCCAUUCCCCAUCCCAUUUCCAUCCCAAAUUCCCCAUCUCAGUUCCAUUCCCCAUCCCAUUUCCAUCCCAAAUUCCCCAUCUCAGUUCCAUUCCCCAUCCCAAACCCCAAUGUCGUUCCCCAUUCCCCAUCCCCGAUCCCUCAUUCCAUUUCCAUUCCCCACCCCAUUUCCAUCCCAUCCCCAAUCCCCAUCCCAUCCCCAGUUCCCAUCCCAAUUCCCUUCCCCAUCCCAAUCCCAUCCCCAUCCCCAACCCAUUCCCCAUUUCCCGUCCCAAUUCCCAAUCCCAUCCCAAUCCCAUUCCCCAUUUCCCAUCCCAGUUCCCUUCCCCAUCCCAAUCCCAUCCCCAUCCCAUCCCAAAUCCAUUCCCCAUCCCCAAUCUCCCACUUAGGUUCUAUUCCCCAUCCCAAUCCCAUCCCCAUCCCCAACCCAUUCCCCAGUUCCCAUCCCAAUUCUAUUCCCCAUCCCAAUCCCAUCCUAAUCCCAUCCCAAAUCCGUUCCCCAUCCCCAAUCUCCCUCCUAGGUUCUAUUCCCCAUCCCAAUCCCAUCCCCAACCCAUUCCCCAUUCCCAAUUCCAAUUCCCUUCCCCAUCCCAUCCCAAUCCCAUCCCAAAUCCAUUCCCCAUCCCCAAUCUCCCACUUAGGUUCUAUUCCCCAUCCCAAUCCCUCCCCCAUCCCCAUCCCAUCCCCAUUUCCCAUCCCAAUUCCCUUCCCCAUCCCAAUCCCAUCCCCAUCCCCAACCCAUUCCCCAUUUCCCAUCCCAAUCCCAUCCCAAUCCCCAACCCAUUCCCCAUUUCCCAACCCAUUCCCCAUUCCCCAUCCCAAUCCCAUCCCAAUCCCCAACCCAUUCCCCAUUUCCCAUCCCCAUCCCAUCCCAAUCCCUCUACCCAAUCCCAUCCCCAGUUCCCAUUCCCCAUUCCCAAUCUCCCAUCCCAGUCCUUCCCAUUCCAGUUCCAUCCCCCCCCCCAACCCCACCCCAAAUCCCAUUCCAAAUCCGUUCCCAUUCCCAGUCUCCCAACCCUAUUCCAUUCCCAAUCCCAAUCCCAAUCCCAAUCCCCAUCCCAUAAUGACACACCCCCCUAUAGGGGCACCCCAUAUAUGGGGGAUCCCAACUGGGAUCCAAACUGGGGGAGAAAUCCCACAGAAUCCCACAAUUUUGGGGCAUUUUCUGCCCAUACGCAGGGAAGAAUUUCUUCAUUAGGAAGCAAUUAGCAGUCAUUACGAGCACGCCAACAUGAUGUAAUUAAGAGGGACGGGUUCGUUAAGGCAAGUGGAGCGGGUGGGAAAUUGGGGAUGUUGUGUGCGAGGGUCUUCCUUUCUUUUGGGGUCUCCCUUCUUUAAUUAAUUACCCAAAACAAUUAAAUGAAACAAGGCAAAAAUAUCAAACCCAGAGAAAUGGUAAUUAAGGGGUAAUUGCACUUACAGGUGGAAAAAAGACUUGUAAUUAAGGGAGUAACCUCGUUCAUGUGGGGAAACCUUUGUAAUUAAUGGGUAAUCCCAAUGUAGGGGGGGAAAAAUGCUCUUAAUUAAUGGGUAAUCUCAUUAAUGGGGGGAAAUAGCCCCCAAAUUAAGGGGUAAUCAAAAUGUAGGAGGGAAGGGAGUUAAUUAAGGGGUGAGUGUUCCCAUGAAUGGGGGGAAAUAGCCUCAAAAUAAAGGGGUGAUCUCAUUAGCA
rnacentral:lncRNA from 1 species